UGGCGGACGGGUGAGUAAUGUCUGGGAAACUGCCUGAUGGAGGGGGAUAACUACUGGAAACGGUAGCUAAUACCGCAUAACGUCGCAAGACCAAAGAGGGGGACCUUCGGGCCCCUUGCCAUCGGAUGUGCCCAGAUGGGAUUAGCUAGUAGGUGGGGUAACGGCUCACCUAGGCGACGAUCCCUAGCUGGUCUGAGAGGAUGACCAGCCACACUGGAACUGAGACACGGCCCAG
rnacentral:rRNA from 1 species